ACAUUUUUUUACAGCAGCAGUCGUGCCACAAAGCUGGUACGGUGGUAGUUUCUGCGUUUGGCCAAAUUACCCGAGGGACGAAAGGGUGGACAAGGCUGUCCGAGGUGCCGAAGAACCUCAACCUGACUGGCAGACACAUGAUAUGAUUACUUGGUGGCAAGGCGAUGGUUAAAAAAGUAUGUCCUGUGACACAUCCGAUCUCCAUUCAGAAGAGGAGGCAAUUCCUAAAAGGAGAAAGCCAAUGCCUGUGACAGCGAACAAGCCAGGGGUACACACCAACCUGGCGAGGGGCGAGGUGUGGUUCAGACGCCAUUGCCUG